rnacentral:rRNA from 1 species
AGCAGCCGCGGUAAUUCCAGCUCCAAUAGCGUAUAUUAAAGUUGUUGCAGUUAAAAAGCUCGUAGUUGAAUUUCGGGAUCAAAGGAUCGGUCAUGCCUUGGUAUGUACUGGUUUUAUUGGUUCUCACCCUCUAAAGAACCAUAAUGUCAUUCAUUUGAUGUUAUGGGGAAUUAGGACUGUUACCUUGAAAAAAUUAGAGUGUUUAAAGCAGGCUUACGCUUGAAUACAUUAGCAUGGAAUAAUGAAAUAGGACAUCAGAUUCUAUUUUGUUGGUUUCUAGGAUCGAUGUAAUGAUUAAUAGGGAUAGUUGGGGGCAUUAGUAUUCAAUUGUCAGAGGUGAAAUUCUUGGAUUUAUUGAAGACUAACUACUGCGAAAGCAUUUGCCAAGGAUGUUUUCAUUAAUCAAGAACGAAAGUUAG